rnacentral:rRNA from 1 species
AAUAUUGCACAAUGGGCGCAAGCCUGAUGCAGCCAUGCCGCGUGUAUGAAGAAGGCCUUCGGGUUGUAAAGUACUUUCAGCAGUGAGGAAGGUGGGUAUGUUAAUAGCAUAUUCAUUUGACGUUAGCUGCAGAAGAAGCACCGGCUAACUCCGUGCCAGCAGCCGCGGUAAUACGGAGGGUGCGAGCGUUAAUCGGAAUUACUGGGCGUAAAGCGCAUGCAGGUGGUUUGUUAAGUCAGAUGUGAAAGCCCGGGGCUCAACCUCGGAAUUGCAUUUGAAACUGGCAAACUAGAGUACUGUAGAGGGGGUAGAAUUUCAGGUGUAGCGGUGAAAUGAGUAGAGAUCUGAAGGAAUACCGGUGGCGAAGGCGGCCCCCUGGACAGAUACUGACACUCAGAUGCGAAAGCGUGGGGAGCAAACAGGAUUAGAUACCCUCGUAG